GAUGAACGCUGGCGGCGUGCCUAAUACAUGCAAGUCGAGCGAACAGACGAGGAGCUUGCUCCUCUGACGUUAGCGGCGGACGGGCGAGUAACACGUGGAUAACCUACUUAUAAGACUGGGAUAACUUCGGGAAACCGGAGCUAAUACCGGAUAAUAUAUUGAACCGCAUGGUUCAAUAGUGAAAGACGGUUUUGCUGUCACUUAUAGAUGGAUCCGCGCCGCAUUAGCUAGUUGGUAAGGUAACGGCUUACCAAGGCAACGAUGCGUAGCCGACCUGAGAGGAUGAUCAGCCACACUGGAACUGAGACACGGUCCAGACUCCUACGGGAGGCAGCAGUAGGGAAUAUUCCGCAAUGGGCGAAAGCUUGACGGAGCAACGCCGCGUGAGUGAUGAAGGUCUUCGGAUCGUAAAACUCUGUUAUUAGGGAAGAAAAAAUGUAUAAGUAACUAUGCACGUCUUGACGGUACCUAAUCAGAAAGCCACGGCUAACUACGUG
rnacentral:rRNA from 1 species